rnacentral:rRNA from 1 species
AACGCUGGCGGCGUGCCUAAUACAUGCAAGUCGAACGAGUUCUGAUUAUUGAAAGGUGCUUGCAUCUUGAUUUUAAUUUUGAACGAGUGGCGGACGGGUGAGUAACACGUGGGUAACCUGCCCUUAAGUGGGGGAUAACAUUUGGAAACAGAUGCUAAUACCGCAUAAAUCCAAGAACCGCAUGGUUCUUGGCUGAAAGAUGGCGUAAGCUAUCGCUUUUGGAUGGACCCGCGGCGUAUUAGCUAGUUGGUGAGGUAACGGCUCACCAAGGCAAUGAUACGUAGCCGAACUGAGAGGUUGAUCGGCCACAUUGGGACUGAGACACGGCCCAAACUCCUACGGGAGGCAGCAGUAGGGAAUCUUCCACAAUGGACGCAAGUCUGAUGGAGCAACGCCGCGUGAGUGAAGAAGGCUUUCGGGUCGUAAAACUCUGUUGUUGGAGAAGAAUGGUCGGCAGAGUAACUGUUGUCGGCGUGACGGUAUCCAACCAGAAAGCCACGGCUAACUACGUGCCAGCAGCCGCGGUAAUACGUAGGUGGCAAGCGUUAUCCGGAUUUAUUGGGCGUAAAGCGAGCGCAGGCGGUUUUUUAAGUCUGAUGUGAAAGCCCUCGGCUUAACCGAGGAAGUGCAUCGGAAACUGGGAAACUUGAGUGCAGAAGAGGACAGUGGAACUCCAUGUGUAGCGGUGAAAUGCGUAGAUAUAUGGAAGAACACCAGUGGCGAAGGCGGCUGUCUGGUCUGUAACUGACGCUGAGGCUCGAAAGCAUGGGUAGCGAACAGGAUUAGAUACCCUGGUAGUCCAUGCCGUAAACGAUGAAUGCUAGGUGUUGGAGGGUUUCCGCCCUUCAGUGCCGCAGCUAACGCAUUAAGCAUUCCGCCUGGGGAGUACGACCGCAAGGUUGAAACUCAAAGGAAUUGACGGGGGCCCGCACAAGCGGUGGAGCAUGUGGUUUAAUUCGAAGCAACGCGAAGAACCUUACCAGGUCUUGACAUCUUUUGAUCACCUGAGAGAUCAGGUUUCCCCUUCGGGGGCAAAAUGACAGGUGGUGCAUGGUUGUCGUCAGCUCGUGUCGUGAGAUGUUGGGUUAAGUCCCGCAACGAGCGCAACCCUUAUGACUAGUUGCCAGCAUUUAGUUGGGCACUCUAGUAAGACUGCCGGUGACAAACCGGAGGAAGGUGGGGGUGACGUCAAAUCAUCAUGCCCCUUAUGACCUGGGCUACACACGUGCUACAAUGGAUGGUACAACGAGUUGCGAGACCGCGAGGUCAAGCUAAUCUCUUAAAGCCAUUCUCAGUUCGGACUGUAGGCUGCAACUCGCCUACACGAAGUCGGAAUCGCUAGUAAUCGCGGAUCAGCACGCCGCGGUGAAUACGUUCCCGGGCCUUGUACACACCGCCCGUCACACCAUGAGAGUUUGUAACACCCGAAGCCGGUGGCGUAACCCUUUUAGGGAGCGAGCCGUCUAAGGUGGGACAAAUGAUUAGGGUGAAGUC